GACGAACCGUGCGAGCGUUGCUCGGAAUCACUGGGCGUAAAGGGUGCGUAGGCGGGUCUUUAAGUCAGGGGUGAAAUCCUGGAGCUCAACUCCAGAACUGCCUUUGAUACUGAAGAUCUUGAGUUCGGGAGAGGUGAGUGGAACUGCGAGUGUAGAGGUGAAAUUCGUAGAUAUUCGCAAGAACACCAGUGGCGAAGGCGGCUCACUGGCCCGAUACUGACGCUGAGGCACGAAAGCGUGGGGAGCAAACAGG
rnacentral:rRNA from 1 species